UACGAAGGGGGCUAGCGUUGUUCGGAAUUACUGGGCGUAAAGGGCGCGUAGGCGGCCCGAUCAGUCAGAUGUGAAAGCCCCCGGGCUCAACCUGGGAACUGCAUUUGAUACUGUCGGGCUUGAGUUCCGGAGAGGAUGGUGGAAUUCCCAGUGUAGAGGUGAAAUUCGUAGAUAUUGGGAAGAACACCGGUGGCGAAGGCGGCCAUCUGGACGGACACUGACGCUGAGGCGCGAAAAGCGUGGGGGAGCAAACAGG
rnacentral:rRNA from 1 species